UAUGUGAUCGUCUCUCGCAUAUCAAUAAGCGGAGGAAAAGAAACUAACAAGGAUUCCCCUAGUAACGGCGAGUGAAGCGGGAAGAGCUCAAAUUUGAAAUCUUAAAGGGUUUCCCUUUACGAAUUGUAGUUUAAAGAAGUGUUUUCUGUUGAGGUUUUGGUAAAAGUUCUUUGGAAUAGGACAUCAUAGAGGGUGAGAAUCCCGUAUUUGACCUUUACUUUCAACUUUGUGAUACACUUUCAAAGAGUCGGAUUGUUUGGGAAUGCAGUCCAAAAUGGGUGGUAAAUUUCAUCCUAAAGCUAAAUAUUGGCGAGAGACCGAUAGCGAACAAGUACCGUGAGGGAAAGAUGAAAAGAACUUUGAAAAGAGAGUUAAACAGUACGUGAAAUUGUCAAAAGGGAAGCGUUUGACACCAGUGUUGUUUUUCUGAAAAUCAAUUAAAGAACUGUUUAUGCUAAGCUGUUUAGACUUUAUCAGCUAUCUGUUUAGUUUUGAGCUUUUCUUUAAUGCACUUUUCAGUUAACAAGUCAACAUCAAUUUCUUUUGCUGUAAAAAAGCUUGAGGAAGGUGGCUUGAGAUUCGUCCUUAAGUGUUUAUAGCCUCUUGCCUAUGCAGUCGGAGAGAUUGAGGUCUGCAGCGUAGAUCCUUCGGGGCUAAAUGCAUUUGUGCUAAGUUAUAACAUUUUAUAGACAACUUGUUGACUAUGAUUUGUCUUGUAGCUUACUCGCUUAUGUUAUUUUACCUACGCUUAGGAUGUUGAGUAGCGACAUACGCAC
rnacentral:rRNA from 1 species